rnacentral:lncRNA from 7 species
ACAGCUAUUUUUUCUUGGGGGGAAGGCUUGUUCUGUAAUGAGACAGGGAAUUGUUUUAGCAGGAGCCUGGUUCAAAUACCUGCAAGCACAGUGGAUCAUGCAGAAGAGAUGGAACAAAAAGCAAUGAUGGUUUUCUAUGGGACAUUUUCCAGUAGUAUUGCAGUCUGAGACCUAUGAAGCCAUCUACUGAGGCACUGAUUUAGUGAAUCCCUCUGCCCCACUAGUCAUGGAACUGGGCCAAACCAGCCCAUAAACCAUUGACAGUCUGAGAGGUCAUGUAUGUGCUCUGACAGGUGUCUGACCUGAAUAACUUGGUGAACAAGAUUUUGGGAUACAUCAGUCUCCAUACAGGCACUCUUUCUGUACUCUUGCUUCAGCCAACCGAGCAACUCCACUGUGCGCCUACCUCUCCGAACUGCCAGCCAUUGCACUACAGCUAAGAAAGUGUGUGAGAUUUUACCUUAUGUAUGUUCUAGCUUGUAGGUUUAAUAUUUUCUUUUUUAUAAUUUAGCCCUAGGUACCAAUAUGGAUAUAUAUAUAUUUAAUGUCUAGAUGGAUACAUAAAUAUGUAAGAAAACUCCAGCCAGUAAGCCUAAAGCAACAAUUAGGUGUAAAUCUGAAAUCUCUGCAAGAUAGUUUGAUGUGUUAGCAUGAAAUAUAUUUGCCCGGUUUAUUUGGGUUGCACUUUGUCCCAUUAUUGACAGCUUUCUCAGCAAUUAUUUUGUACUUCCUCUCCUAGAAAAGCAUGCUUUAAUAAUUUGGAAAAGCUACAUAUAAAUUUGUGUUUGCAGAUAGCAAUUACAAACAAGACUUUUUUUUUUCUUUUUGCCGAUACACUAUCAGCGUUCUUAUGAUGAAUUAUUUUCUUAGCCAGAAAUAAUGAUGUUAACAUCCUGAAGAUUAAAUUGCUUUUCCUAGUAGCUCAGGAAAUGAAGGGGAAAGAGAAGCUUUGUUGACUGUAUGUUCUCGUAGGCUGGAAAGAUCAUAUCAUAAUGUGCUAAGGCAAAAAAUCUGGAAUACAUUUGGCACAAUUUUAGAGAAUUAGAAUCACAAAGCUCAACGUAUUUGAAUAGAAGAGAAAGGAAGUUAAGAAAACUUUCUGUAUUUAAGAGAGAAUGUGGGUUUUCUACUGUUGCUAGAUUAACCUGUCAAAGUAAUGGCUUACCUGUUAUACAUGGUGCUUGAUUUGGACGUAGAAUGAGAUGUGAACAAGGUUCAAAGGAACAAUAGAUUUGAAUUU